UCUGACCCUUCUUACUUUUGUGGUGACAGUCACGUUAUCAGGAACUCUAGUGAGCACAGUUCUUUGUGGUUCUUCAUGCAGGUUUAGCAGGGCAGAGCAGUGUCAAGCUCCAGGUACGAGAGGAGAAGUCUGAGGAGGACCAUCAGGCUGGGAGACUGCAGGGGACAGAAAGUUAGAGGGACUGUGAGGUAGAAGGUCUUGAGUUCGCUGACGUUACUCUCAAAAUACUUUCAGGGAGAAUGUGGUUUGUUUUCACUGCAUGAAGUCACUUCGGCCUUCUUCCCUGUCUGUGGGCAAGUUCAGGGUAGAAACUACCAGGUACUCUGAGAACUACGCCAUGGACUUCCCUGCUCAGAGAAGAACAAUCUGCUUCUGACGUUUCACUUUGGUUGUAAAGGACUUCAGGGAUUAUCUCAGCCUCUUCAAACCAAAAUUCCUCUGAAAUGCUUAAAUUGGCCCAGAUAGGGUCAGGUCUGGAAUAAUCAGUUCAGCUUAUGCUGAAAUACUUUAUUUCCAUCCUGCCUGCUUCCACAUCCACUUUUCUGAGCAUUAUUUCCUCCAGAACAAUUUAGAGAUCUCUGAGGAGCUGAUUAGAUGAUGAUGAGGUGAGCAUGCUCCCACCACAUGGCCACAAGGAUUGAUAGAGAUCAAGGACUGAGAGGUUUGGCCCCAAGCUUGACUGAGGAUGAUGUCGGGGAUAUUCCCAAGACCCUCUCUCAGACACAGAUGGUCUGACCCUUUAUUGGUCAUAAGGAUGAAGUGGAAGUUAAUGAGACUCUCAGCUUGGAACUCCCUGGAUGUAAGAUUAUAGCAUAUCUGUUUAUCCAAAGAAUUACGUGUGUCAGAGCAGUAGGUCUUCACAAAUUCAUUAGGUUUAUAACAAUCAACCAUAGUUACAGGAGAAAGAUGCUGUGAGCUCCCUUUAUACCCCUGUUCAGUAUCUGUACAAUCUUACCCUCUAAACGUAUUCCUUCUGUCUCACCUUAAUCAUGUAUUGCUUAUCUAUUUCCUCACAACAGUCUACCUCAAAAUUUGUGGCCUACAAUGGCAACCAUGUAAACCAUGUAUUUGCUUAUGCUUCUGUAAUUUGGACCAGGUUCAGCUGGGCAGUUCCUCUGCCAGUCUCACCCGAGGUCAUGUUCACUGCAGUCAGUUGGCAGGUGAAGGUGUGGGGAGUUGGAGAAAGACUCACUGGUCCCAGCCAGCCUCAAUCACAUGUGUUGGGCCUCAGUGGAGAUGACUGGAACUACUGCGAUGAGUAGGACACUCUCUCCAUGUGAUCACUCAUCCUCAAGGAGACCAGUCUGGGUUUUCUUAAGCCUGGGAGUCACAGGGCAUCAAGAAGGUGAAAGCAGACACUCAGGGCUCAAUAUCACUUCUGCCACAUUCCAUUGAUCAAAGCACAUCAUAGUGCCAGCCAAAAUUCAAGGGGCAGAGGAAAUAGACUCUGCCUUUUAUUGGAUGACAAAUUAACAUUGCAAAGAAGCAUGUAUCUAGGAAUGGAAGAAAUUUCUGGGGCCAUCCUCAUAAUAUAUCACAGUCACUAAAGCUGCAUAUUUAUAAAUUAUUCCUUUCACCCUUUAGAAAUGGCCUGUUCCUUAUUGGCAAGGGCAGAUGGAGACUCCAAUUGGGAUGACUCAUUUAAGUGGGGCUAUAGAAUGAACAUUUUUAUGGAAUGUCAACUGUGUGUAAGCAUUGUAUACAUAUAAUCCUAUUUAAUUCUCAAAACAACUUCAUGAUAGGUCUUACCUCCAUUUUAUUACUAAGAAAGCUGAUGUUCAGGGUGAGUUAAUGAAUUACUGAACGUAACUCAGUUGUCAUGGAGGGAGUUGAGGAUUUCUUCACCUGUAAAAUGGGAAUCAUAAUACUUACCACCAGCAUAGUUGGUAGGAUGAAAUUAAGUGCUUUGUGUGGAAGUGGCUGGUAAACCCCAAAGCACUGUACAAAUGUUAAUUUUCAUUUUCAUUGAGCCAAGCAGACAUUUUGAGGGGAGGAGUGUUGUCUAGGAAGGCGCCAGAGUCAUCUGAGCCAGACACCAACUGUUGUGUGUCUCUCAGCUGCUAUUUACUUUGGCUUCAGACCAAAUCCUUCAUGCAAUGCCUUUGGCGGUCACAGACGAGAAAGAGCCCUGUGGGCCAGGCUGGCAAGCCAGGACAUGCUACAGGUGAAGACAGACACGCUUCCAUUGGAAAAAGGAAGAAACUGAAACAAAGCUCUAAGUGCCUUGCUGCUAUCCUCAACUACUCCGGUUGCAAGGAUUUUUAAUAUUUCACUCAAGGUCACAUACACAACCUUGAAUUGCUCUGAACCUACUUUCUCCCAACUCUUCUUUUCACUAAAUCUCAUCCCAAUUCUUUCCAAACCUCAUUCUCUCAUCAUUAUCCCAUCUGCAUCUUCAAUCUAUACACCCAAUGUUUCCUCCCCCUCCUUGUCUUAUUUGGAUUCUGUAAGACCUAAUUCUUACAGGGACCAGGAGGGAGGGUCAGCCUUUUGCAAAGUCAGCCUUCACCAGUCUUCUCUUUGCACAUCUACCAUCUACCUAAACUAAGAUCUCUUCCUCCUUUGAGGUUUAGGCUGCUCAGAUACACCAUGUUCUUUUUGCCUGCCUUGUUGCUGUCAUCUGUUGACCUCCCAUCAGUCACUACCAUCCUUCUUUGGGAGUUCUGGCAUCUCACUCAUAGCCUACCUGCCGUCACCAAGGACAACUUCAACACUCAUUGAACAUCCUGGACUCAGAAUUCCUCAACUUUUACAACCCCAUUAUGCUUCAUCCAAGACAGCUGAAUACCAUCCAUCCACCGGUGAAAAAGGCUGCAUUGCAUUGCAGAUUGACUAGUUCAACUCACAGAAAUUGUUCACAAAAAAUGCCUAAUGCAGGUGACAAAAGAAAAGUCAAAUUUGGAGUCAGGAAAUCUGGUUUUAGAGUCUUAUCUCAACUCCUUACCAAGUGUUGAAAAUUGAAUAGGGUACACCUUCUCUAAACCUGAGUUUUCUCAUACUUAAAAAUGAGGAAUAAUAGUUUCUAUAACACUAGGACAUAGUAAAAACCAAAUGGGAUCUAGAGUGGAAAAAAAUUAUAAACUGUAGGAUACUCAACAAAUAUCACUAUAAACCCUUGAAAGAAAAUGUUUAUGAUUGUAUAAAUUAUAUGAAUCCAAUUUUUUUGUGUUAAGCCAAAAAUGAAAAGAGAACAAAAAUCAUGAAUUCUGGUUCAGAUGAUGGAUUGAAUGCAUUCUUCUAUUUUCACUCCAUCCCAAACUCCUGGAUAUUUUAAAUCAAGAGUGAGAAGAAUGAGAAAAGAGACAAUUAUAGCAAUGUAUUGGAAGCAUGUGGUAAAUAAUAACAAAACAGAGAAAACUACAUCCUUGGGCAGCUUUGGGAAAGCAGAGAGGGAACUGGAUUUAUACUACAAAAUUUCCAAAACAAUCAGCUGCCAGAACACUGGAAGCCAGGCGUUCACCUUACAGGCAGAAGAUUGGACAUACCUUCUCUGGGAAACCUGACUAGCUCAAGAGGAAACAUCUUAAGAUAUUGACAUUGGGAGUUCCAGCCAGAUCACCCUAUAAAGAAACUAUAUUCAACAAGACCCAUCCAUGUUUUGAAGCCUUUAAUCAGUUUUUUAGUGCCUCAAACAUGUAAACAUAAGCAAAGACCAUCAGACAUAUGAGGAAAGCUUCUAAUGUGAGCAAUAGAAAUACUACUGGUUUUUGUAUGUUGAUUUGUUUCUUGUAACUUUACUGCAUUCAUUUAUUCUAACAAGUUUUUGUGUGUGUGUGUGUGACAGUUUUAGGGUUUCCUAGAAAGAAAAUCAUGUCAUCUAUGAGCAGAGACAAUUUAACUUUUUCCUAAUUUGGAUACCUUUUAUUUUUCUUGCCUAAUUGCUUUGGCUAGGAUUUCCAGUAUUAUGUUGAAUAGAAAUGGUGAGAGUGGGCAUCCUUGUCUUGUUCCAGAUCUUAGAGGAAAAGUUUUUAACUUUGCACUAGUAUGAUGUUAGCUGUGGGCUUGUUAUAUAUGGCAUUUAUUGUGUUGAAGUACAUUAUCUAGUUUGUUGAGUUUGUAUCAUGAAAAGAUGUUGAACUUUGUCAAAUGCUUUUUGUGCAUCUACUGAGAUAAUCAUAUGUUUUUUCCUUCAUUCUGUUAAUGCAGUAUAUUACAAUUAUUGAUUUGCAUAUGUCAAACUAUCUUUGCAUCCCAAAGAUAAAUCCCACUUGAUUAUGGUGAAUGGUCUUUUUAAUGUGCUAUUGAAUUUGGUUUGCUCAUAUUUUGUGGAAGAUUUUUGCAUCUUUGUUCAUUAGGCAUAUAGGCCUGUAAUUGUCUUUUCUUGCUGUGUCGUUGUCUGGCUUUGGUGUCAGGGUAAUGUUGGCUUGUAAAAUGAGUUCAGAAGAAUUCCUCCUCUUCAAUUUUUUUGGAAGAGCUUGAGAAAACUGGUAUUAAUUCUUCUUUAAAUGUUUGGUAGAAUUUAGCCUUGAAGCAAUCCCUGAGUUUUUCUUUGAUGGAAUAUUUUUAUUUCUGGUUCAAUCUCCUUACUCAUUAUUGAUCUGUUCAGAUUUUCUAUUUCUUCAUGAUUCAGUCUUAGUAUGUUAUAUGUUUCCAGGAAUUUACCCAUUUCUUCUAGGUUAUCGAAUUUGCUGCUGUGUAAUUAUUCAUAGUAGUCCCUUAUGAUUCUGUGUAUUUCUGUGGUAUCAGUUGUAAUGUUCCCUCUUUCACUUCUAAUUUUACUUAUUUUUCUUUGUUAAUCUAGCUAAAGUUUUGUCAAUUUUGUUUAUGUUUUUGAAAACCAAUUAUUCACUUUGUUUAUCUAUUGUUUUCUAGUCUCUAUUUCAUUUAUUUCUGCUCUGAUCUUUGUUAUUUCCUUUGUUCUUCUAAUUUUGGGUUUAAUUUUUACUUUUUUCUUGUUUACUGAGGUAUGACAUUAAGUUGUUUAUUUGAGAUGCUUCUUUUUUAAUGUAGGCAUGUAUUGCUGUAAACUUUCCUCUUAGAAACUGCUUUUGCUGCAUCCUAUAAGUCUCAGAAUGUUGUGUUUCCAUCUUCAUUUGUCUCAAGAUAUUUUUAAAUUUUCCUUUACAUUUCUUCUUUGACCCAUUGGUUGAUUGUUCAGGAGCAUGUCAUUUAAUUUCCACAUAUUUGUGAAUUGUCCAGAAUUCCUCCUGUUAUUAAUUUUUAUCAUACCAUUGUGGUUAGAAAAGAUACUUGAUAUUAUUUCAAUCUUCUUAAAUUUGUUGAGACUUGUUUUGUGGCCUAACAUAUGAUCUAUCCUGGAGAAUGUCUCAAGUGCACUUGAGAAGAAUGUGUAUCCUGCUUCUGUUGGUUGGAAAGAAACACAAAAAUAAAUCAAUUUAGAGGAA